rnacentral:rRNA from 1 species
UGAGGAAUUUUGCGCAAUGGGAGCAAUCCUGACGCAGCAACGCCGCGUGGGUGAUGAAGGCCUUCGGGUCGUAAAGCCCUGUCAGGUGGGAAGAAUGUCCCGGGACUGAACAGGUUUCGGGAGUGACGGUACCACCAGAGGAAGCACCGGCUAACUCCGUGCCAGCAGCAGCGGAAAUACGGCGGGCGCAAGCAUUCUUCGGAAUUACUGGGCGUAAAGAGCGUGUAGGCGGUCCUGCAAGUCUGAGGUGAAAGCCCCGGGCUUAACCCGGGAAGUGCAUUGGAAACUGCAGGUCUUGAGUACUGGAGAGGAUGGGGGAAUUCCCGGUGUAGAGGUGAAAUUCGUAGAGAUCGGGAGGAAUAUCAGUGGCGAAGGCGCCCAUCUGGACGGUAACUGACGCUGAGACGCGAAAGCGUGGGGAGCAAACA